rnacentral:rRNA from 1 species
GAUCCUGGCUCAGGAUGAACGCUAGCUACAGGCUUAACACAUGCAAGUAGAGGGGCAGCGGGAUUGAAGCUUGCUUCAAUUGCCGGCGACCGGCGCACGGGUGAGUAACGCGUAUCCAACAUUCCGUACACUCAGGGAUAGCCUUUCGAAAGAAAGAUUAAUACCUGAUGGUAUGAUGAGAUUGCAUGAUAUCAUCAUUAAAGAUUUAUCGGUGAUGGAUGGGG